rnacentral:rRNA from 1 species
GAUUUCUGGCGAGAUAUAUCUGGCCGGCCACGGUUUCGUGUGUUAGUGCUUGAUAUUCUAGCCAUCCUUCCAAUGGCUAUUCAUCCUUCUUCAUUGAGGUGGUGAGUGGUAUUGGAUCUUUUACUUUGAAAAAAUUAGAGUGUUUAAAGCAGGCUUGUGCUGUGAAUACAUUAGCAUGGAAUAAUAAUUUAGGACUUUGGUCUUAUUUUGUUGGUUUCUAGGACUAAAGUAAUGAUUGAUAGGGACAGUUGGGGGUGCUAGUAUUCAGCGGCCAGAGGUGAAAUUCUUGGAUUCGCUGAAGACUAACUUAUGCGAAAGCAUU